rnacentral:rRNA from 1 species
GGAAUAUUGCACAAUGGGCGAAAGCCUGAUGCAGCGACGCCGCGUGAGGGAUGACGGCCUUCGGGUUGUAAACCUCUUUCAGUAGGGAAGAAGCGAAAGUGACGGUACCUGCAGAAGAAGCGCCGGCUAACUACGUGCCAGCAGCCGCGGUAAUACGUAGGGCGCAAGCGUUAUCCGGAAUUAUUGGGCGUAAAGAGCUCGUAGGCGGUUUGUCGCGUCUAUCGUGAAAGUCCGAGGCUCAACCUCGGAUCUGCGGUGGGUACGGGCAGACUAGAGUGAUGUAGGGGAGACUGGAAUUCCUGGUGUAGCGGUGAAAUGCGCAGAUAUCAGGAGGAACACCGAUGGCGAAGGCAGGUCUCUGGGCAUUAACUGACGCUGAGGAGCGAAAGCAUGGGGAGCGAACAGGAUUAGAUACCCCGG